AAUCAACGCUGGCGGCGUGCCUCAGACAUGCAAGUCGAACGAUUAAGACUCUCUUCGGAGAGUGUAUAAAGUGGCACACGGGUGAGUAACACGUAGGUAAUGUACCGAAGGGUGGGGAAUAACUUAGGGAAACUUAAGCUAAUACCGCAUAAUGCAGCGGCUCGACAUCGAGACAGUUGUUAAAGGAGCAAUCCGCCUUUUGAGCAGCCUGCGGCAGAUUAGCUAGUUGGUAAGGUAAUGGCUUACCAAGGCUACGAUCUGUAACCGACCUGAGAGGGUGGUCGGUCACACUGACACUGAAUAACGGGUCAGACUCCUACGGGAGGCAGUAGUCGGGAAUUUUGGGCAAUGGGCGAAAGCCUGACCCAGCAACGCCGCGUGAAGGAUGAAGUAUUUCGGUAUGUAAACUUCGUAAGAAUAGGAAGAAUAAAUGACGGUACUAUUUGUAAGGUCCGGCUAACUACGUGCCAGCAGCCGCGGUAAU
rnacentral:rRNA from 1 species